UACAUAGGGGGCAAGCGUUGUUCGGAAUUACUGGGCGUAAAGGGCGCGUAGGCGGCCUGUUAAGUCGAACGUGAAAUCCCCGGGCUCAACCCGGGAACUGCGUCCGAUACUGGCAGGCUUGAAUCCGGGAGAGGGAUGCGGAAUUCCAGGUGUAGCGGUGAAAUGCGUAGAUAUCUGGAGGAACACCGGUGGCGAAGGCGGCAUCCUGGACCAACACUGACACUGAGGAGCGAAAGCCAGGGGAGCAAACGGG
rnacentral:rRNA from 1 species